AAUGCAAGUCGAACGAUGAACUCCAGCUUGCUGGGGGGAUUAGUGGCGAACGGGUGAGUAACACGUGAGUAACCUGCCCUGGACUCUGGGAUAAGCGUUGGAAACGACGUCUAAUACCGGAUAGGACUCCUGACCGCAUGGUUGGGGGUGGAAAGUUUUUCGGUCUGGGAUGGACUCGCGGCCUAUCAGCUUGUUGGUGAGGUAAUGGCUCACCAAGGCGUCGACGGGUAGCCGGCCUGAGAGGGUGACCGGCCACACUGGGACUGAGACACGGCCCAGACUCCUACGGGAGGCAGCAGUGGGGAAUAUUGCACAAUGGGCGAAAGCCUGAUGCAGCAACGCCGCGUGCGGGAUGACGGCCUUCGGGUUGUAAACCGCUUUUAGUAGGGAAGAAGGGCUUCGGCUUGACGGUACCUGCAGAAAAAGGACCGGCUAACUACGUGCCAGCAGCCGCGGUAAUACGUAGGGUCCGAGCGUUGUCCGGAAUUAUUGGGCGUAAAGAGCUCGUAGGCGGUUUGUCGCGUCUGCUGUGAAAUCUGGAGGCUCAACCUCCAGCCUGCAGUGGGUACGGGCAGACUAGAGUGCGGUAGGGGAGAAUGGAAUUCCUGGUGUAGCGGUGGAAUGCGCAGAUAUCAGGAGGAACACCGAUGGCGAAGGCAGUUCUCUGGGCCGUAACUGACGCUGAGGAGCGAAAGCGUGGGGAGCGAACAGGAUUAGAUACCCUGGUAGUCCACGCCGUAAACGUUGGGCGCUAGAUGUGGGGACCUUUCCACGGUUUCCGUGUCGUAGCUAACGCAUUAAGCGCCCCGCCUGGGGAGUACGGCCGCAAGGCUAAAACUCAAAGGAAUUGACGGGGGCCCGCACAAGCGGCGGAGCAUGCGGAUUAAUUCGAUGCAACGCGAAGAACCUUACCAAGGCUUGACAUAACCGAGAACGCCCUAGAAAUAGGGAACUCUUUGGACACUCGGUUACAGGUGGUGCAUGGUUGUCGUCAGCUCGUGUCGUGAGAUGUUGGGUUAAGUCCCGCAACGAGCGCAACCCUCGUCGCAUGUUGCCAGCACGUAAUGGUGGGAACUCAUGUGAGACUGCCGGGGUCAACUCGGAGGAAGGUGGGGAUGACGUCAAAUCAUCAUGCCCCUUAUGUCUUGGGCUUCACGCAUGCUACAAUGGCCGGUACAAAGGGCUGCGAUGUCGUAAGGCGGAGCGAAUCCCAAAAAGCCGGUCUCAGUUCGGAUUGAGGUCUGCAACUCGACCUCAUGAAGUCGGAGUCGCUAGUAAUCGCAGAUCAGCAACGCUGCGGUGAAUACGUUCCCGGGCCUUGUACACACCGCCCGUCAAGUCAUGAAAGUCGGUAACACCCGAAGCCGGUGGCCUAACUC
rnacentral:rRNA from 1 species